GCCGGGAUAGCUCAGCUGGUAGAACAUGAGAGGCUUAAUCACAGGAUCAUGGGUUUGAGCCCCAUGUUGGGUG